CCCUUAGAUGUUCUGGGCUGCACGCGUGCUACACUGAUAUUGCCAAUAUGUCAUUCUUAUCCGAAAUGGAUUGGGUAAUCAAGUAAUGAAAUUUCAUGCUUGGAAUCGGUAAUUGUAAUUUUAUCGUGAACGAGGAAUUCCUAGUAAGCACUAGUCAUCAGCUAAUGUUGAUUAUGUCCCUGCCCUUUGUACACACCGCCCGUCGCUACUACUGAUUGGGUGUUCAAGUGAGAUGCUUAGACCCUUGUUGCAUGGUUCAUUAUUGUGCUCCGAAAGGAAAAAGUUUCAAGCUUGAGUGUCUAGAGGAAGUAAAAGUCGUAACA
rnacentral:rRNA from 1 species